UAACUUACUAAACACAUACAUAACAUGACUUAACUUUGAUACUUUUUUGGUACAUUCCAGAAAACCAGGACCCCCUCCAUGAUGCAGGCUAUGGGGCCACAUAAAACUUUGUCCAGGGUUACUACAUAACAUAGCACGACAACUGUAAACUAUGUACUACUGUACUAAAGAACCCCCUGAAUGAUGUAGGCUAUGGGGCCACAUAAGACUUUGUCCAUCCAGGGUUACGAUGAAUGUCAAAUAUAAACUAAAGAACCCCCUGAAUGAUGUAGGCUAUGGGGCCACAUAAGACUUUGUCCAUCCAGGGUUACGAUGAAUGUCAAAUAUAAACUAAAGAACCCCCUGAAUGAUGUAGGCUAUGGGGCCACAUAAGACUUUGUCCAUCCAGGGUUACAUAGCAGGACAACUUUAAACUAAAAAGCUACCAGACUGGGAUUUUAGUGUACUCCAGGAUCUAACAAAGUGUGCAAUGCAUGUAUACGUAUAGUGACAGUGUUUAG